AUUGAACGCUGGCGGCAGGCUUAACACAUGCAAGUCGAGCGGGGAGAUGUAGCUUGCUACAUUUCCUAGCGGCGGACGGGUGAGUAAUGCUUAGGAAUCUGCCUAUUAGUGGGGGACAACAUUCCGAAAGGAAUGCUAAUACCGCAUACGCCUUACGGGGGGAAAAGCAGGGGAUCUUCGGACCUUGCGCUAAUAGAUGAGCCUAAGUCAGAUUAGCUAGUUGGUGGGGUAAAGGCCUACCAAGGCGACGAUCUGUAGCGGGUCUGAGAGGAUGAUCCGCCACACUGGGACUGAGACACGGCCCAGACUCCUACGGGAGGCAGCAGUGGGGAAUAUUGGACAAUGGGCGAAAGCCUGAUCCAGCCAUGCCGCGUGUGUGAAGAAGGCCUUUUGGUUGUAAAGCACUUUAAGCGAGGAGGAGGCUACUUAGAUUAAUACUCUAGGAUAGUGGACGUUACUCGCAGAAUAAGCACCGGCUAACUCUGUG
rnacentral:rRNA from 1 species